rnacentral:lncRNA from 1 species
UCACUAUUCAGGUAUCAUUCUGAGCGGCCACUGUACAAUUCUACAAUGAUCUUUCAAAUGGUUCUAGUUCUAGUAGUGCACAACGUCCGAUGAAUGCAAUAUACACAAGCUAUUGCUAAUUGAAUAAUACAUCCCUGACGUUUCAGGUUCAAGAAAUAUCAAUUCUUCUGAUUUAAUGAUUCAAAGGAUGCAAUGACUUGAGACCUCAAUAGUAAACAAAAAUUCUGUGCUCACCAUGCAAUUCAAUUUGUAAUACCGAUGCUGCAGGCAAUUGGCUGCAGCAGGUACACACCUUUGAAAAAGAUGUCAACACACCAACAAAUCAAUCAACGACUAUUUACAUCACGUCCAUCGUUCUCUUUAGGAACCGUCUCCUGCAUUUGAGCGGGCUGCUUGAGAUUGAGCAACAUGCUGUCUCAGCAGAUCUUUAAGCUUUUCUAGCAAUUCUUGGAAACUCGGGCGGCUUCUUGGCUCACUGGUUCAACAAAAUUGUCAAAUAAGCUCUUAUUACACUAAAGGAAGUCUUCAGAGUGAAGUUUAGGAAAAAAUUGGCAGCAAAAACUGAGUCUAAGCUCUUUUUUACAAUACUGUUUUAUGGAUGUGCACAGCAUGUGCUAAAAAUCUUAACUCUGUUUAUAUCCUAAAAGAUAAAUUAUUGCAAAAUAUUAGGUUCUCCUAUGACAAUAUAGCAAGCAUUUAACUAGGGAACAGUAUUCCAUAAGUGCUUACAUUGUUGAAAUGUAAUUUGAAAACAGUAUCUAAAACAUGUAACAAACGAAAUGUGUAUUAACCUGUGCCAACAGCUCUCAAUUAUGGAAGCAAACUGUGGAUCCACCUCUUUAGGGAUCUCUAGCCGGUGGUUCAUGAACCCGACAGCUCCAAUCACCUGAAAGUCCUUGACGAGUUAGUUCUGCUUCGACAAUUGCACAUAAUCAGAACAUCAGGACAAGUCGGGAGUUUUGGGUAAACCAGUUCAGCUAGAGCCAGAUCUAAGCAAUACCUGCAUUGAGUUAAGAUUGUCCCAAGGAAUCUUCUCAGUAGCUAUUUCCCACAAUAUCACCCCAUAGCUGUACACGUCAGACCUAAAAAUUUCCAACCGAAAGAAGUAUGGUUAAUUCAAAAGGUUUAUCUUUUGCACAUCUAAAAAGAGAAGUGAAUUAAAGCAUACUUUUCAUCUGAAGGUUCAUUCCGUAGAACUUCUGGGGCCAUCCAUUGGGGCUACAAAAAAUAGAAAGAGAAUCUAUUUUAAGUCAAGUCAUUCAGUAGUAUCCUAUAUAGAAGAUUUGAGAAUGCGUGUCACAUACCGUUCCUUUUCCUGUUUUUGUUGUCAGAAAAGUUUCAUGCUUGAGACGUGACAAACCAAAGUCUCCAACCUAUUUGAUGUAAAUAAUGAAAAACCUCAUAUACAUAUACAUAAUAAUUACUAAACUGAUAUUAGAGUGAAACAAAGAAGUUAGGUCAGAAAGAAAAUGAAUUGACAAACGUUGGGAAGUGGAAUGCAAAAAAAUCAAGGCAGACCUUUACGGUCCAGUUCUUGUCUACAAGAAGGUUUGAAGACUUCAAAUCACGAUGAACUAUCGGCGGGCUGCAAUGAUGAAGAUAAUUCACGCCUCUUGCCUGCAUAUUGGGGAACCAGGAGAGUUUUGUAUAGUAAGUGACGCAUGACUUGUAUAUCAACUGAAGUUUGUGCACUUGUUUGUAUAUAGGAAUUGAUUAUGAAUACACAGACAAAGUCACAAAGAACAGAUCCACAGGUGUAAACCCGUGCUCCUUAAUGCUUUGGUUAGUAUGUAAACAUUCAUAUCUAAUUCAUGAUUUCACUUGCACGUAUGUUAUUUUUUGUGUAACUCACAAUAUCCAGUGCCAUGUGUAUACGUCUUCUCCAGUCUAUUCGAGUGGUACUCCUCUGUAGCAACCGGAACAAACUUCCACUGUGAUACCAGGGGUCAAAAUUAUUACAGAAAUAAGCAAGUAUAAAUAACAAAAAGAUAUGGAAUAAGUCUAUUAAUCUAUGUUGCUCCCACGUUCAAUAAUCCAAUAAUCUUGUGCCUCAACUGUUUGUUGCACUUAGUAUUGUAAAUUAUUUUUGAGUAAACUUCAAAGUUGUGGCCAAAGUUUACACCGAUUUUCAAAACGUUGGCCAGAGUUUCAAAUUCUCAUAAAGAUGGCCAAACUUUGGCUCCGCUUUUUAAAAGUGUGGCUCCGUUAAAUGUCACUAACGGAAGUAACGGACAAAAGGNAUUUUAUAUAAAUUAAAGGGUUAAUGCUCUAUUUCAUCAUAUUAAUAUUUUAUAAAAAUAUUUAAAUAAAUAUAUACUAUUCGGGAUGGAUAAUCCCGACGGAAAAUAUAUUUAUACCAUAUUCAUCCCAUAUUAUUAUGGGAAAAAUAAUUAAUCCCGGUCAAUACCGCAUGACCCAUAUUAGCGUCCUGCCCCAUCGGGACUGAUCAGAGAGACUAGUUACCUGUUUGCCAGCCACAACUCCAGUUGCAAAAGAGUGAAUAACUGUAUGCAAAUCAGUCACUUGACAAUUUUGGCAGAUGACACACUUUUGUGCAAUGCAAGAGAUGAAAUACCAAAAUAACUUCAACAAAUCUCAAAAUGGUUGCGGUUUCCAGAUUCACAUCAGGAGAUCGCCAGAGCCUUGAACGUAAGAACAGUCUUUCCAUCUGACGAAGCCUACCAGUAACCAAAACGUUUGUAACCAUUGCUUGUACCGAGUCGAGGUGACGUUUGGAUAAAAAAGAUUGCAAAAGAUCAAUUACAUCACUAUUCAGGUAUCAUUCUGAGCGGCCACUGUACAAUUCUACAAUGAUCUUUCAAAUGGUUCUAGUUCUAGUAGUGCACAACGUCCGAUGAAUGCAAUAUACACAAGCUAUUGCUAAUUGAAUAAUACAUCCCUGACGUUUCAGGUUCAAGAAAUAUCAAUUCUUCUGAUUUAAUGAUUCAAAGGAUGCAAUGACUUGAGACCUCAAUAGUAAACAAAAAUUCUGUGCUCACCAUGCAAUUCAAUUUGUAAUACCGAUGCUGCAGGCAAUUGGCUGCAGCAGGUAC